UGCGCAGGCGGGCUUGUAAGUCAGUGGUGAAAUUCUGCCGCGUAACGGUAGAACUGCCAUUGAUACUGCAAGUCUUGAAUAUGGUUGAGGUAGGCGGAAUGUGUUGUGUAGCGGUGAAAUGCAUAGAUAUGACACAGAACGCCAAUUGCGAAGGCAGCUUACUAAGCCAUUAUUGACGCUGAGGCACGAAAGCGUGGGGAGCGAACAGGAUUAGAUACCCUGGUAGUCC
rnacentral:rRNA from 1 species